rnacentral:rRNA from 1 species
UACGUAGGGGGCAAGCGUUGUCCGGAAUCAUUGGGCGUAAAGCGCGUGUAGGCGGCUCGGUAAGUCUGCUCUGAAAGUCCAGGGCUCAACCUUGGGAUGCGGGUGGAUACUGCCGGGCUCGAGUCCGGAAGAGGCGAGUGGAAUUCCUGGUGGUAGCGGUGAAAUGCGCAGAUAUCAGGAGGACACCAAUGGCGAAGGCAGCUCGCUGGGACGUGACUGACGCUGAGACGCGAAAGCGUGGGGAGCAAACAGG